rnacentral:tRNA from 1 species
CCGGCGAUAGCUCAGUUGGCAGAGCGGAGGACUGUAGAUGCGAUGAGCAGAAAUCCUUAGGUCGGUGGUUCAAAUCCGCCUCGCCGGA